AGGAUAAGCCAUGCGAGUUGUAUGGGAUCCCUAAACUCCCAUAUCAAACUGCUCAGUAACACAUGAUCAACUUGCCCUAUGGAGAGCACUAACCUCGGGAAACUGAGGAUAAUGGCUCAUACUUGAUUAGGCUUGGAAAAGUUUUUCAAUGAAAGGCGUAAGAAAAAUGGUUCUUAUGCGCCAUAGGAUAGGAUCGUGCUCGAUUAUGGUGGUUGGUGAGGUAACGGAUCACCAAGCCGAUAAUCGAUAGGGGCCGUGAGAGCGGUUGCCCCGAGAUGGGUACUGAGACAGCGACCCAGGCCUUACGAGGCGCAGCAGGCGCGAGACCUCCGCAAUACACGCAAGUGUGACGGGGUUACCCAAAGUGUCCUUAUUGGACUGUGGCGGGUGAGUAAUGUUCCCCGCUAGAAAGGAGAGGGCAAGGCUGGUGCCAGCCGCCGCGGUAAAACCAGCUCUUCAAGUGGUCGGGAUAAUUAUUGGGCUUAAAGUGUCCGUAGCCGGUUUAGGUAAGUUCCUGGUAAAACCGGGCAGCUUAGCUGUCCGUAUGCUAGGAAUACUGCUAUGCUAGAGGGCGGGAGAGGUC
rnacentral:rRNA from 1 species